rnacentral:rRNA from 1 species
AACGAACGCUGGCGGCAGGCUUAACACAUGCAAGUCGAACGUCCUGGCAACAGGGCGUGGCAGACGGGUGCGUAACGCGUGGGAACAUACCUUUCGGUUCGGAAUAACCCAGGGAAACUUGGGACAAUACCGGAUACGUGCGAAAGCAGAAAGAUUUAUCGCCGAAAGAUUGGCCCGCGUCCGAUUAGCUAGUUGGUGAGGUAAUGGCUCACCAAGGCGACGAUCGGUAGCUGGUCUGAGAGGAUGAUCAGCCACACUGGGACUGAGACACGGCCCAGACUCCUACGGGAGGCAGCAGUGGGGAAUAUUGGACAAUGGGCGAAAGCCUGAUCCAGCCAUGCCGCGUGAGUGAUGAAGGCCCUAGGGUUGUAAACUUCUUGACAGGGGACGAAACAAAUGACGGUACCCUGAAAACAAGCCACGGCUAACUACGUGCCAGCAGCCGCGGUAAAAUCAACGUCG